AUUGAACGCUGGCGGCAGGCCUAACACAUGCAAGUCGAGCGAGCGGCGGACGGGUGAGUAAUGUAUGGGGCUCUGCCCGAUAGAGGGGGAUAACUACUGGAAACGGUGGCUAAUACCGCAUAGUAUCGGAUGUGCCCAGAUGGGAUUAGCUAGUAGGUGGGGUAACGGCUCACCUAGGCGAAGAUCCAUAGCGGGUCUGAGAGGAUGACCAGCCACACUGGAACUGAGACACGGUCCAGACUCCUACGGGAGGCAGCAGUGGGGAAUAUUGCACAAUGGGCGCAAGCCUGAUGCAGCCAUGCCGCGUGUAUGAAGAAGGCCCUAGGGUUGUAAAGUACUUUCAGUCGGGAGGCGUUACCGACAGAAGAAGCACCGGCUAACUCCGUGCCAGCAGCCGCGGUAAUUC
rnacentral:rRNA from 1 species